rnacentral:misc_RNA from 1 species
AAGUCGUAACAAGGUUUCCGUAGGUGAACCUGCGGAAGGAUCAUUAACACGUAUCCACGUUAUCAAACCAAUGAGAACCGUUUUCCCGUCUCCCUGCUGCAUGAAAUGAAUUGGUAACCAGUUUGAGGGGUUGAUGGGGCUGUAAAAGCGCGACCUUCCUGGCACACUGACGUUUAUUCGUCGACAAUUGUAUUUGUGUUCUGCAGGCUAAUUCUUUAUCGCUUUGACUUCCAUCAUAGUCGUGGCGGUAAGGGAGCCCUACAAAACUAUAUUUACCCUUUUUUGCUAGUUGACUUUUUAUAUGUGUUGUUCGAUUGCGUUAAAUUGCAAUGGCUCGGCACACGUUUAUUAAUUGAACGUUAAAAAAUACAACUCUUAGCAAUGGAUAUCUUGGUUCUC